UUUAUAAAUCUUAUGCUCAACUAAUC
rnacentral:misc_RNA from 1 species